GCAGAUAGAGAGCAGAGGUGCAGAUGAAAAGACAUGAACAGUGUCGUUUGCUUAAAAUAAAAGGGCCUCCGUGAUUAGAGAGGCCCCGGAAGCGCCGAAAUUGGUAGUGUUUCGCGACGGCACGCUCACUGAUUUGUGCAAUAUAGAAAAACAAAGGAGCAUCGACUUUGGUGGGUAUCAGUCUAUCACCAAUGGCUCUUUUCUUGUCGGCAUCGUAUUUGUGGACUGCCUUUUUCCCAUUAGUCUAUAUAUAUAGAAUUGUUGUGUCGUGCUUUGUAUAUUCAUGGUACAUUCUCGUCGUGAUGAUAGCAAACGCUGAUGCAAAAUUGACGCCACACUCACAAAGAAAGCGAAACAGGGCUGUCCUAGUAAGUCUUAACCCAUGCGUACAGGGAUGCCUGUUUAUUAGUGGCAGCUUAAAUCCCCAAAAGAAAUAGAUAGAGAGAAAUAAGUUUGCUAAACUUGUGGAAACAAAAUAGUGUGCUACCAAUAUUCAUGUCAUGUUUUGGAACUGUCUUAAGUGAACCAUUUUAAAGUAAUGCCAUGUGUUACCGUUUUUUUGUAUUGAGUUUGGACAUUCAAAUAUAAAAUGCUGGUAGAAUUGUCUUAAAGCGUACUCUAUAAAAGUAUAUUUCGCUGUUUUAUAGCAUAUAACAAGACUUGUGGUCAAAGUCGGUUUUUUU